UGUUUAGUUUUACUGAAAAUCUUCGUAAAGUCUUGAAACGUUAUAAAACGAUACCAAUUUUUGAUUCACAACUUCAUUUUCUGUUACUGGUCUGGUUUCAUGCUCAUAUUAGACCGUUAUUGUCUAUAAAAUGAUGAAUGUCUUCAAUAAAAAUUAAACUCGUGUGAAUUGCCUUCACAUUUAUUA